CCUACGGGGGGCAGCAGUGGGGAAUCUUGCGCAAUGGGCGAAAGCCUGACGCAGCCAUGCCGCGUGAAUGAUGAAGGUCUUAGGAUUGUAAAAUUCUUUCACCGGGGACGAUAAUGACGGUACCCGGAGAAGAAGCCCCGGCUAACUUCGUGCCAGCAGCCGCGGUAAUACGAAGGGGGCUAGCGUUGCUCGGAAUUACUGGGCGUAAAGGGAGCGUAGGCGGACAUCUAAGUCAGGGGUGAAAUCCCGGGGCUCAACCUCGGAAUUGCCUUUGAUACUGGGUGUCUUGAGUAUGAGAGAGGUGUGUGGAACUCCGAGUGUAGAGGUGAAAUUCGUAGAUAUUCGGAAGAACACCAGUGGCGAAGGCGACACACUGGCUCAUUACUGACGCUGAGGCUCGAAAGCGUGGGGAGCAAACAGGAUUAGAUACCCUGGUAGUCCACGCCGUAAACGAUGAUUGCUAGUUNUCGGGAGUGNANNNAUUCGGUGCGCNGCUACGACAUAGACAUCGCCGUGGAGGUACGGUCGCGAGAGUAAACUAACUAAUAGAGUUAGUAGNGUUGAGAGNGCGAGCGACGACGAGGAGAGG
rnacentral:rRNA from 1 species